rnacentral:piRNA from 1 species
UCAUUGGUGAAUGAACGGGCAAAGUCUGA